UUGCAUGUAAAUAAUAAAUUUUGGCAAAGGUUAAGGAAUUUGAUUUUCAACCCAAUUUGGACCAAAGGCGGCACACACGUAGGUGGAUUCAAGAACUACCAUGUCAAGGUCAGCCAAAGGGCAAUCAUUUGGAUGAAGGUCA